rnacentral:rRNA from 1 species
UACGUAGGGCGCAAGCGUUAUCCGGAAUUAUUGGGCGUAAAGAGCUCGUAGGCGGUUUGUCGCGUCUAGCCGUGAAAGUCCCGGGGCUCAACUCCGGAUCUGCGGUGGGUACGGGCAGACUAGAGUGAUGUAUGGGGAGACGUGAAUUCCUGGAUGUAGCGGUGGAAUGCGCAGAUAUCAGGAGGAACACCGAUGGCGAAGGCAGGUCUCUGGGCCAUUACUGACACUGAGAAGCGGAAAGCAUGGGAGCGAACAGG